UACAGAGGUCUCGAGCGUUAGGCGGAAUCACUGGGCUUAAAGCGUGCGCAGGCGGCGAUGUAAGACAGGUGUGAAAUCCCCGGGCUUAACCUGGGAAUGGCAUUUGGGACUGCAAGGCUUGAGUGUGGCAGAGGGGACUGGAAUUCCUGGUGUAGCAGUGAAAUGCGUAGAGAUCAGGAGGAAUACCGAUGGCGAAGGCAGGUCCCUGGGCUGACACUGACGCUCAUGCACGAAAGCGUGGGGAGCAAACAGG
rnacentral:rRNA from 1 species